rnacentral:rRNA from 1 species
GAUGAACGCUGGCGGCGUGCUUAACACAUGCAAGUCGAACGAUGAAGCCCAGCUUGCUGGGAGGAUUAGUGGCGAACGGGUGAGUAACACGUGAGUAACCUGCCCUUAACUCUGGGAUAAGCCUGGGAAACUGGGUCUAAUACCGGAUAGGAGCGUCCACCGCAUGGUGGGUGUUGGAAAGAUUUAUCGGUUUUGGAUGGACUCGCGGCCUAUCAGCUUGUUGGUGAGGUAAUGGCUCACCAAGGCGACGACGGGUAGCCGGCCUGAGAGGGUGACCGGCCACACUGGGACUGAGACACGGCCCAGACUCCUACGGGAGGCAGCAGUGGGGAAUAUUGCACAAUGGGCGCAAGCCUGAUGCAGCGACGCCGCGUGAGGGAUGACGGCCUUCGGGUUGUAAACCUCUUUCAGUAGGGAAGAAGCGAAAGUGACGGUACCUGCAGAAGAAGCACCGGCUAACUACGUG